rnacentral:rRNA from 1 species
UGAGGAAUAUUGGUCAAUGGACGCGAGUCUGAACCAGCCAAGUAGCGUGAAGGAUGACUGCCCUAUGGGUUGUAAACUUCUUUUAUAUGGGAAUAAAGUGGUCCACGUGUGGACUUUUGUAUGUACCAUAUGAAUAAGGAUCGGCUAACUCCGUGCCAGCAGCCGCGGUAAUACGGAGGAUCCGAGCGUUAUCCGGAUUUAUUGGGUUUAAAGGGAGCGUAGGCGGAUUGUUAAGUCAGUUGUGAAAGUUUGCGGCUCAACCGUAAAAUUGCAGUUGAUACUGGCAGUCUUGAGUGCAGUAGAGGUGGGCGGAAUUCGUGGUGUAGCGGUGAAAUGCUUAGAUAUCACGAAGAACUCCGAUUGCGAAGGCAGCUCACUGGACUGCAACUGACACUGAUGCUCGAAAGUGUGGGUAUCAAACAGGAUUAGAUACCCUGGUAGUCCACACGGUAAACGAUGAAUACUCACUGUUUGCGAUAUACUGCAAGCGGCCAAGCGAAAGCGUUAAGUAUUCCACCUGGGGAGUACGCCGGCAACGGUGAAACUCAAAGGAAUUGACGGGGGCCCGCACAAGCGGAGGAACAUGUGGUUUAAUUCGAUGAUACGCGAGGAACCUUACCCGGGCUUAAAUUGCAGAUGAAUUACGGUGAAAGCCGUAAGCCGCAAGGCAUCUGUGAAGGUGCUGCAUGGUUGUCGUCAGCUCGUGCCGUGAGGUGUCGGCUUAAGUGCCAUAACGAGCGCAACCCUUGUUGUCAGUUACUAACAGGUUCCGCUGAGGACUCUGACAAGACUGCCAUCGUAAGAUGUGAGGAAGGUGGGGAUGACGUCAAAUCAGCACGGCCCUUACGUCCGGGGCUACACACGUGUUACAAUGGGGGGUACAGAGGGCCGCUACCACGCGAGUGGAUGCCAAUCCCCAAAACCUCUCUCAGUUCGGACUGGAGUCUGCAACCCGACUCCACGAAGCUGGAUUCGCUAGUAAUCGCGCAUCAGCCACGGCGCGGUGAAUACGUUCCC